rnacentral:rRNA from 1 species
GACGAACGCUGGCGGCGUGCCUAAUACAUGCAAGUAGAACGCACAGUUUAUACCGUAGCUUGCUACACCAUAGACUGUGAGUUGCGAACGGGUGAGUAACGCGUAGGUAACCUGCCUGGUAGCGGGGGAUAACUAUUGGAAACGAUAGCUAAUACCGCAUAAUAUUGAUUAUUGCAUGAUAAUUGAUUGAAAGAUGCUAUUGCAUCACUACCAGAUGGACCCGCGUUGUAUUAGCUAGUAGGUGAGGUAACGGCUCACCUAGGCGACGAUACAUAGCCGACCUGAGAGGGUGAUCGCCCACACUGGGACUGAGACACGGCCCAGACUCCUACGGGAGGCAGCAGUAGGGAAUCUUCGGCAAUGGACGAAAGUCUGACCGAGCAACGCCGCGUGAGUGAAGAAGGUUUUCGGAUCGUAAAGCUCUGUUGUAAGAGAAGAACGGGUGUGAGAGUGGAAAGUUCACACUGUGACGGUAUCUUACCAGAAAGGGACGGCUAACUACGUG